AUUGAACGCUGGCGGCAGGCCUAACACAUGCAAGUCGAGCGGUAGCACAGAGAGCUUGCUCUCGGGUGACGAGCGGCGGACGGGUGAGUAAUGUCUGGGAAACUGCCUGAUGGAGGGGGAUAACUACUGGAAACGGUAGCUAAUACCGCAUAAUGUCGCAAGACCAAAGUGGGGGACCUUCGGGCCUCAUGCCAUCAGAUGUGCCCAGAUGGGAUUAGCUAGUAGGUGGGGUAACGGCUCACCUAGGCGACGAUCCCUAGCUGGUCUGAGAGAAUGACCAGCCACACUGGAACUGAGACACGGUCCAGACUCCUACGGGAGGCAGCAGUGGGGAAUAUUGCACAAUGGGCGCAAGCCUGAUGCAGCCAUGCCGCGUGUGUGAAGAAGGCCUUCGGGUUGUAAAGCACUUUCAGCGGGGAGGAAGGCGUUAAGGUUAAUAGCCUUGGCGAUUGACGUUAUCCGCAGAAGAAGCACCGGCUAACUCCGUGCCAGCAGCCGCAGUAA
rnacentral:rRNA from 1 species